UACGAAGGGGGCUAGCGUUGCUCGGAAUUACUGGGCGUAAAGGGCUCGUAGGCGGCCAACUAAGUCCGACGUGAAAUCCCCAGGCUUAACCUGGGAACUGCGUCGGAUACUGGAUGGCUUGAAUUCGGGAGAGGGAUGCAGAAUUCCAGGUGUAGCGGUGAAAUGCGUAGAUAUCGUAAGGAAGACCAGUGGCGAAGGCGGGUCUCUGGACAGUUCCUGACGCUGAGGGCACGAAGGUCAGGG
rnacentral:rRNA from 1 species